rnacentral:piRNA from 1 species
CAGCAUUUGAUCGAGCUGAUCCGCCA